rnacentral:rRNA from 1 species
UACGUAGGGGGCUAGCGUUGUCCGGAAUCAUUGGGCGUAAAGAGCGUGUAGGCGGUCCGGUAAGUCCGCUGUGAAAGUCGGGGGCUCAACCCUCGAAUGCCGGUGGAUACUGUCGGGCUAGAGUACGGAAGAGGCGAGUGGAAUUCCUGGUGUAGCGGUGGAAUGCGCAGAUAUCAGGAGGAACACCGAUGGCGAAGGCAGGUCUCUGGGCCACUACUGACGCUGAGAAGCGAAAGCAUGGGGAGCGAACAGG